AUUGAACGCUGGCGGCAUGCCUUACACAUGCAAGUCGAACGGUAACAGAUCUUCGGAUGCUGACGAGUGGCGAACGGGUGAGUAAUACAUCGGAACGUGCCCGAUCGUGGGGGAUAACGAAGCGAAAGCUUUGCUAAUACCGCAUACGAUCUACGGAUGAGAGCAGGGGACCGCAAGGCCUUGCGCGAACGGAGCGGCCGGGGGCAGAUUAGGUAGUUGGUGGGAUAAAAGCUUACCAAGCCGACGAUCUGUAGCUGGUCUGAGAGGACGACCAGCCACACUGGGACUGAGACACGGCCCAGACUCCUACGGGAGGCAGCAGUGGGGAAUUUUGGACAAUGGGCGAAAGCCUGAUCCAGCCAUGCCGCGUGCAGGAUGAAGGCCUUCGGGUUGUAAACUGCUUUUGUACGGAACGAAAAGACUCUGGUUAAUACCUGGGGUCCAUGACGGUACCGUAAGAAUAAGCACCGGCUAACUACGUGCCAGCCGCCGCAGUAA
rnacentral:rRNA from 1 species